GCCCUUGUAGCUCAGCCGGUAGAGCGCAGCCAUGGUAAGGCUGAGGUCUGCGGUUCAAUCCCGCACGGGGGCUCAA
rnacentral:tRNA from 1 species